CCCUUAGAUGUUCUGGGCCGCACGCGCGCUACACUGUUCGACGCAGCGAGUCUUAACCUUGACCGAAAGGUUUGGGUAAUCUUCAGCAAAGUCGAACGUGAUGGGGAUCGAUCAUUGCAAUUAUUGAUCGUGAACGAGGAAUUCCUAGUAAGUGCAAGUCAUCAGCUUGCGCUGAUUACGUCCCUGCCCUUUGUACACACCGCCCGUCGCUACUACCGAUUGAAUGGUUUAGUGAGAUCUCUGGAUUGACGCUGGCUAGGGGGCGACCCUUGGCCAGACUGUUGAGAAACUGCUCAAACUUGAUCAUUUAGAGGAAGUAAAAGUCGCAACA
rnacentral:rRNA from 1 species